rnacentral:lncRNA from 1 species
AACUCGGAUCGAUUUUUCAUCAAAAAUAUCCAAGUGCACCUGGAAUAAUCAUCAAUGAAAAUGACAAAGUAGCGAAAUCCUAAGGUAGAACUAACCCGACUAGGACCCCAAAAAUCUGAAUGGACUAAAAUAAAAGGUCAUGUUGCUCGACUAUCAAGAUGUCGCAAGAAAUGGGAGCGGGUAUGCUUACCGAGCUGACACGAUUCACUCUAGAGUGAACAAGUGAGAUAAGUCAUGUACUGCGUUCCUAUCUCAAAACAAGGUCAUUAAGAAAUAAAUUCGCAAAUUUAAGUGAUUCGGCUAAGCGACUAACGGUUAUGAGAUUAAAAGGACUACUGGGAACAUAAAGAACCGAGUCUAAAGGUAAGGAAGGAAGUGGACUUGCUUGACCUAUUGCAGUUGACAUGGCUUGAGACCCAUUGGCCAUUGUGACUGUUGGAAGAGAUUGGGAAUAUGAAAUACUAUUGAAAAGAUAUUUUCUAACAGAAAUAUGAUCAGAUACACCUGAAUCAAUGACCCAUGACUUAGAAGCUGAAGAUUGGGAAACACAAGACACGUUACUAUCUAUUGGAACAACUGAGGCUAAUCCUCAAAAUGUUUGUUUAUGUGCUUUGUACUGAAGGAACUCAAUAUAAUCUAGUAAAGAAACCAUCUGGAUUGGAUUCAACGAAUUGGAUCCGACGGAUUGUGAGUUAAAGGCUUCUGAUACGAAUGCCAUUAUAAUGUUGCACCCAGAAAGCAAAAAUUUUCUGGAAAUUACUAUUCACGUCGGAAAAAAUCACUGUAGCUCGCCGGAAAUUCCAAAGUUGUCGGAAUCUAUCAGAAAUAGUACCAAUGGACUCGGAAUUGCUGUGCGACCAGCAGUUCUGAAGAAACUCGGCCAAAAAAUGGCCGGAAGAAACUUCACACACCGGCGCGUUGAGUCGGAGAUCGCCAGAAAAUAUUCUCACGACGGCGCGUGGAAGGGUUUCUGACGGAGAAAUUUUUAGGAUUUGGUCGUCGGAAGAUGAUCUAUCUUGUGGUGGUGUUGGGUUUUGCACAACACCAACGGAUAUGGACUUUCCUGUGGACAGUACUGCUUUGCCGGAAAAAGGCAAUUUUUUUCUUCCCAGAGUCGCUGGAAUUUAUGCACAGCGAUAAAUAUCUUACGAUUGCUCUGAUACCAUGUGAGAAAGCACGGGAGAAAAAUUAUUAUUAAUUAACAAUGAUACAAUGAGCCAUAUAUAUACAAUACAUGUCCUACUCAUAACACAUGGGAUUAGGGUUAUUUACCACUAUUUAUAUAAUGAAACUAACACAACCAAAGACUGGUAGAUAGCCAUGUCAAUCUUUCGAAAACGGAAGGUCUAAAAUGUGAGAACUACUGUUAAUCAUGGCGAACAUAAUUGACCGAUCUAACAAAAGGAGUGAUUUCUAGUGGUGGGAACCAAGUUUUCAAAGGACAUACUAGAAUUUUGGUAUUGGUAUCUAGUUAGUGAUAUUUCCUGGAGUUUCUUUGACCUCACUUUUUUUAUCAAUUAAAAAAAUAUUUUUCCUCAAAAGAAAAGGCCUGUACUAUUUUUUUGAUAAUAAAGCUCUCAUGUAAAAGAGGUAUACCAAAAAGUAGAAAAUCUGCAAAAGGUUCCUUUUUUUCUGAAUCUAUCCGAAAGAGAAUCUGAAAAUCAUACACAGUUGAUCAUUUCUUAGAUUUUGUUAAAUUGUACAGUAAAAUUCUAACACAAUUGCUAUCACAUCGGCCAAAUGAUCAAAUGAGCAUAUAUCUAUCGCCAUGAACAAGAAAUCAAUAUGUCAGAAUAACGUUCUUCAACUAUGCGUCAUUUUACUAAUCGCCUUAAGAUUAAGAUGGUCCAUAAUUAGCAGUUUUAACUUGAGAAAUACCUUAAUAACAGACAUUAAUCCAGUUUUAAACUGAAGAAAACCCCAAAAAUCUGAAUGGACUAAAAUAAAAGGUCAUGUUGCUCGACUAUCAAGAUGUCGCAAGAAAUGGGAGCGGGUAUGCUUACCGAGCUGACACGAUUCACUCUAGAGUGAACAAGUGAGAUAAGUCAUGUACUGCGUUCCUAUCUCAAAACAAGGUCAUUAAGAAAUAAAUUCGCAAAUUUAAGUGAUUCGGCUAAGCGACUAACGGUUAUGAGAUUAAAAGGACUACUGGGAACAUAAAGAACCGAGUCUAAAGGUAAGGACGCCAUUGAAUAUGCCUGCUCACAUACUUCAGCAAAACAAUAUCUCAGACAUAGAUCGCAUCCAGAGCCAAAAGAGCUUUAAAAAUUAAAAUUGCCAUUAGAAGCUCACAUGAAUUAUCACAGAAACUUAUGCUCACCUAACCAAAUAACAAAUCUCGUGCAUAAGUGUGUAACAGCAACAAAGAAUGCAUAAACCACAUGCAUCAUCCUGUUAUAACUUAUAUUAAAGAAUCAAAUUACAAGUUCAACAUAGAAUUUCUAUUUUAACUUGGCGACAGUAAAAAUCACUCCCCGUGUUGAUCUCAGCAUGAUAUCUUUAAUUUGUAGAGAUGUUUUAAGUUAAGUGUUGAGAAAGCAAAACAAGAAAGAACAUAGGUCCUUGUGCAAAACAGAAGGAAAAAAGGAAGAGGCUUUGUCUCAUUUACUGUGAUAACUUAGAGAUUUUUUACUAAGAUAUACUAAUUGCAGUAAUAGGGAAAAUAUUUAGACUACAGUCAAAAUAUUGAAAUGCUCUUAAGUUUAUUCAAGAACAAAUUUAAGAUCUUGAUAUUAGGGAUAGUUCUCUAUGUUAUCAUUAGUAUCGGUUGAAAGCACAUCAGACCUGUUAGAGCAUCUCACAAAAAGGACACACAAACAACUAAAGACAGUGAAGGUAAAGACUGGAUCUCGGGAUUUUCUAGCAUUGUCCCUCAAGUUAAACAUAUCACACUUGAUCCUGUAAACAUUUCCACACCAUACCAUUCAUAUAUCAAUCAGUUGACUAUGCCUGAAUCCAAC